rnacentral:rRNA from 1 species
UACGGAGGAUGCGAGCGUUAUCCGGAUUUAUUGGGUUUAAAGGGUGCGUAGGCGGACGCUUAAGUCAGCGGUAAAAUUGCGGGGCUCAACCUCGUCGAGCCGUUGAAACUGGGUGCCUUGAGUGGGCGAGAAGUACGCGGAAUGCGUGGUGUAGCGGUGAAAUGCAUAGAUAUCACGCAGAACUCCGAUUGCGAAGGCAGCGUACCGGCGCCCGACUGACGCUGAAGCACGAAGGCGUGGGUAUCGAACAGG